UACAGAGGUCACGAGCGUUGUUCGGAUUCAUUGGGCGUAAAGGGUGCGUAGGUGGCGCCGUAAGUGGGGUGUGAAAUCCCGGGGCUUAACCUCGGGACUGCAUUCCAUACUGCGGUGCUUGAGGACUGGAGAGGAGACUGGAAUUUACGGUGUAGCAGUGAAAUGCGUAGAGAUCGUAAGGAAGACCAGUGGCGAAGGCGGGUCUCUGGACAGUUCCUGACACUGAGGCACGAAGGCCAGGGGAGCAAACGGG
rnacentral:rRNA from 1 species